GAGUUUGAUCCUGGCUCAGAUGAACGCUGACGGCAUGCCUUACACAUGCAAGUCGAACGGCAGCACGGGAGCAAUCCUGGUGGCGAGUGGCGAACGGGUGAGUAAUAUAUCGGAACGUGCCCAGUAGUGGGGGAUAGCCCGGCGAAAGCCGGAUUAAUACCGCAUACGACCUAAGGGUGAAAGCGGGGGAUCGCAAGACCUCGCGCUAUUGGAGCGGCCGAUAUCAGGUUAGCUUGUUGGCGGGGUAAAAGCCCACCAAGGCGACGAUCUGUAGCUGGUCUGAGAGGACGAUCAGCCACACGGGGACUGAGAUACGGCCCCGACUCCUACGGGAGGCAGCAGCUAGGAAUCUUGGGAAUGGGCGAAAGCCUGACCCAGCAACGCCGCGUGGGCGAUGAAGGCCUUCGGGUCGUAAAGCCCUUUUGUAGGGGACGAUGAUGACGGUACCCUGCGAAUAAGCCACGGCUAACUACGUGCCAGCAGCCGCGGUAACACGUAGGAGGCGAGCGUUAUCCGGAUUCACUGGGCGUAAAGCGCGUGCAGGCGGUUUGGUAAGUUGAUCGUGAAAGCUCCCGGCUCAACUGGGAGAGGUCGUUCAAUACUACCGAACUAGAGAGCAGAAGAGGAAGAUGGAAUUCCCGGUGUAGUGGUGAAAUGCGUAGAUAUCGGGAGGAACACCAGUGGCGAAGGCGAUCUUCUGGUCUGUUUCUGACGCUCAGACGCGACAGCUAGGGUAGUAAACGGGAUUAGAGACCCCGGUAAUCCUAGCCGUAAACGAUGUGAACUUGGCGUCGGUGGCUUAAACACCAUCGGUGCCGAAGCAAACGCGAUAAGUUCACCGCCUGGGGACUACGGCCGCAAGGUUAAAACUCAAAGGAAUUGACGGGGGCCCGCACAAGCAGCGGAGCGUGUGGUUUAAUUCGAUGCUACACGAAGAACCUUACCCAGGCUUGACGUACAGGUGGUAGGGAUCCGAAAGGUGACCGACCCGCAAGGGAGCCUGAACAGGUGUUGCAUGGCUGUCGUCAGCUCGUGUCGUGAGAUGUUCGGUUAAGUCCGCUAACGAGCGCAACCCUCGCUGCGUGUUAUACGUGUCACGCGGGACCGCCGGUAUUAAGCCGGAGGAAGGUGGGGAUGACGUCAAGUCAGCAUGGCCCUUAUGCCUGGGGCUACACACACGCUACAAUGGUCGGUACAAUGGGUUGCCAAGCCGCGAGGUGGAGCCAAUCCCCCAAAGCCGACCUCAGUUCAGAUUGCAGGCUGCAACUCGCCUGCAUGAAGCCGGAGUUGCUAGUAAACGCGCGUCAGCUAUAGUGCGUUGAAUACGUUCUCGGGCCUUGUACACAC
rnacentral:rRNA from 1 species